UACAUGCAGUCGAGCGGACAGAUGGGAGCUUGCUCCCUGAUGUUAGCGGCGGACGGGCUUUGUAACACGUGGGUAACCUGCCUGUAAGACUGGGAUAACUCCGGGAAACCGGGGCUAAUACCGGAUGGUUGUUUGAACCGCAUGGUUCAAACAUAAAAGGUGGCUUCGGCUACCACUUACAGAUGGACCCGCGGCGCAUUAGCUAGUUGGUGAGGUAACGGCUCACCAAGGCAACGAUGCGUAGCCGACCUGAGAGGGUGAUCGGCCACACUGGGACUGAGACACGGCCCAGACUCCUACGGGAGGCAGCAGUAGGGAAUCUUCCGCAAUGGACGAAAGUCUGACGGAGCAACGCCGCGUGAGUGAUGAAGGUUUUCGGAUCGUAAAGCUCUGUUGUUAGGGAAGAACAAGUACCGUUCGAAUAGGGCGGUACCUUGACGGUACCUAACCAGAAAGCCACGGCUAACUACGUGCCAGCAGCCGCUGUAAUACGUAUGUGG
rnacentral:rRNA from 2 species